AUGAAAACAUUAUUAAAAUUUAUGUUAUAUUUAUAAUACAAGAUAUUAAAAAAUAACAAUAGCACUUUUAUAAUAAAUUUCAAAUAAUUAGAGCAUAUAUAUGAAUUUUAUUACAUAAAUACAGUGUUUAUUAAAACCAUUAUCGUGAAGGUUACGUGUUGUGUCAUUCAAUCAAAUUUCGUAAAAAUGUGGUUUUAUUUUUUAUUUGCUAUUCUUACAACAUUUGAUUUUGCGAUGGCUUCAUCGAGUUUUGAUUUUGGAGAUACUGUAGCAUUGAUUCUUGGAUUAAUUAUUGGAAUCAUUGGAUUUUUUGCCUGUAUGGGUACUUAUGCACGUCAUCGAAAUCGUAUGGAAACAAUGACAUAAAAAUAAAUACUCCAAAAUUUAAAAAAUAACUAUUCAAUGUUUAUAAAAAAUUAAAAUAUAUACAGUAAAUGAUAAAUAAAAUACUUUUUGAUGAUAAAAGUAAUUUUGAAUUACAUUUAUGAUAUAUAAUAAGAUAUUUUUAUGUAUUAUUAUAAUAUAAUUAUUAAAUAAAUUUUUAUAAAAAUAAUAAUGAUACAUAAAUAUGUAUCAGAAUAUUUAUUAAAAAUAUUAUAUCAUUAAAAAUAUAUUAUUUUUAAAUUUUUUUUUAAUUUUUAUAUGUAACAAGUGAUAUAAAUGUAUUUAACAAUAUACACAUAAAAAGAUUGUAAUAUUUUAAAAUGAUUAUAUAAUAUAGAAAAAUAUUAUUUAUAGUACAUGCAAUACUAAUUAAAAAAAUUAUGUAUUGUUGUCUACAUAAUAUAUUCAUAAAUUUCACAAAUAUACAAUGUUAAUUAACAUCAUAAACUACAUUUUGAUGUAAUUAUUUUUCAAGUAAGGAAUGGAAGAUAAUAUUCUGAGCACAAUUAUUUAAAUUAUUCCAGUUUGAUUAAUUAAUUAAUUGAUUAUUUGAAAUCGCAAAACAACAGUUCAUAACAACAGAAUUUCUAUGUAUCUCUAUUACAACUUCUUUUCAUUAUAUGAUAUAACGAAAAAUUUUAAUUAAUUUUGUUAUUUUUUGUAAUUUUUUUGAAUGCUGAUGCAUAUCUAAUCAGUCUUUACAAAAUUUCUUAUAGAAUUUCACACAACAUAGCUUACAUAAAUUUUUGAAGCAUGUAUGAACUUAUAUACUAGUUAGCAUAGGAAAGCUCUUUGAUUAUUUUUUCUUAAACAUCUUUCACAUUUCUUAUUAUAAGCAAAGUAAUUAAAUAUUAAUAUAAGAUAUUUUAGAAAAUAAUUAAAACUUUGUUUUUUUAAAAAUCUUUUUUUUUUUGUAUAUUUUACUUAAUGAAUUUAAAAUUUUUGUAUAAAGAUAUUUUAAAUAUAGAUAACUUUAAUUAAUUAUAUUAUCCAAGAUAAAGACUUUGUUUUUUUUUCAUUUGAAAUUUGAUAAAGUAAAAUAUUUUAUUAUACAGUACAACAAACAUCUGUUUUUCACAAUUGCAUUUCUAAAAUAUCAAAUGAUAUAUUUAUGUGCUUAAAACAAUAUAUAUGUAAUACAGCUUAUAUGUAUAUAUGUAUAUACAUAUGUACAUACAUACAUACAUGUGUUGUAUCAAUCAACAAAUUGUUUAUAUAUACUUGUAAUUAAUUAUAUGAAUUUAUUAAAUAAAUUAAAUAAUUUUAAUAAAUUAGUUCAUUAAAUUCUGAUCCAUCAAUAUGUACUAAUUUUUGUGUAUGUACUAAUUUUAUGUAUGAUUUUUGUAAAUGUAGCAAAAUAUGAUAUACUUGUUCUUUUCGUCAUAUUUUCUGAAAAAUAUAUAGUAAUACCUAAGUCUGAAUGUACUAAGUUCAAUUCCAUCAAGUUAGAUGCCAUAUUGGUAGAAAAGAAUUAUGAUGAAUUCAUAUUAUUGAUUUUUUCACAUGUAACAGUGCUGUUUGGUAUUCUUUGGUAAAACAAUAAAAAUGUUUUACAAAAAUUCACUCCAAUUAUAUAAUCAUUAUAAUAAUUAUAUAUAAUUAAAAUCACAUUGUAUAUAAUAUAUUUGCAAAAAAGAGAUCUAUUUUAAUGCUAUUAAUGAAAUAAUAUUCAUUUCUAUUGUCUUAUUUUAUUCAUUUCAAUGAAAUUCUCAUUCAAUGAAUAAAUUUGAAAAAUUAGAAAUUAAUUUUUACCAAACUAUAUCACUGUAAAUUAUUAUAUUUAAACAUAAUUUAUUUUCGAAAUUUUAUACUGAGUUUUUAUUAAAUAUAGGAGCUAUAUUGAAAGCCAAUCCACCUAUCAGUAAAUGAAUAAUAUGUACAUUUAGUAUUACAUGUUAUGCAUUUUUUUUUUUUGAGUAUUAUCUAAUAAAUUUAUUUAAAAGUAACUAUAUAAAAAUAAUUGCAAUAUAUUUCCAUAAGAAAUACAUACAAUUAUCUAUAUUAUAAUGUUUCGUUCAACAAUUACAUGAAUUUAUUACUAGGUGGAUUAACUGAAUUUACAGAUUGAAUAAUAAUUCUUUUUUUGAAGAAUAGAUUAAUAAAAUUAUAAUAUAAAACAUAAAAA